rnacentral:rRNA from 1 species
ACCGGCAAACGGGUGCGGAACACGUACACAACCUUCCUAUAAGUGGGGAAUAGCCCAGAGAAAUUUGGAUUAAUACCCCGUAACAUAACGAUGUGGCAUCACAUUGUUAUUAUAGCUUCGGCGCUUAUUGAUGGGUGUGCGGCUGAUUAGAUAGUUGGCGGGGUAACGGCCCACCAAGUCUACGAUCAGUAGCUGAUGUGAGAGCAUGAUCAGCCACACGGGCACUGAGACACGGGCCCGACUCCUACGGGAGGCAGCAGUAAGGAAUAUUGGUCAAUGGACGCAAGUCUGAACCAGCCAUGCCGCGUGAAGGAUUAAGGUCCUCUGGAUUGUAAACUUCUUUUAUCUGGGACGAAAAAAGGCUUUUCUAAGUCACUUGACGGUACCAGAUGAAUAAGCACCGGCUAACUCCGUGCCAGCAGCCGCGGUAAUACGGAGGGUGCAAGCGUUAUCCGGAUUCACUGGGUUUAAAGGGUGCGUAGGCGGGCAGGUAAGUCAGUGGUGAAAUCCUGGAGCUUAACUCCAGAACUGCCAUUGAUACUAUCUGUCUUGAAUAUUGUGGAGGUAAGCGGAAUAUGUCAUGUAGCGGUGAAAUGCUUAGAUAUGACAUAGAACGCCUAUUGCGAAGGCAGCUUACUACGCAUAUAUUGACGCUGAGGCACGAAAGCGUGGGGAUCAAACAGGAUUAGAUACCCUGGUAGUCCACGCCCUAAACGAUGGAUACUCGACAUACGCG